GCCAGUGGCAAUAGGACGUUCAGUGCACCAAUGCCCGACGAUGAAGUCAAGCAACGCUACGCUUGGUUCGUAUCUGGACGGGUGACCGUCUGAGACAACACGUGCUGCUAGGU
rnacentral:rRNA from 1 species